rnacentral:rRNA from 1 species
AGUGUAGGCGGUGCGACAAGUCGAUUGUGAAAUCUCCCGGCUCAACCGGGAGGGUGCGGUCGAAACUGUCGGACUGGAGUCCGAGAGGGGAGAGUGGAAUUCCUGGUGUAGCGGUGAAAUGCGUAGAUAUCAGGAGGAACAUCGGUGGUGAAGACGGCUCUCUGGAUCGUGACUGACGCUGAGACUCGAAAGCGUGGGGAGCAAACAGGAUUAGAUACCCUGGUAGUCC